rnacentral:lncRNA from 1 species
GAUCUUUUGAUCCAGCAGUAUAUAUUUUAACAUAUCCAUAGAAUGAUGUUUCUAAAUAUCUCUGGCAAUAUGCUGCAAAACUUUGUUCAUUUGGAUAACUCUUUCUUUUCUUUCAGUAGUUCACUGUUAACCUCUGGUGAUGGAAGAAACCAUGUGGGAACCGCACUUAAAACCAGUGAAGGACUAAAUUUAAAUUCUUUAAUUCUGUAUUGUUCUGCUAUACUAUUAAUGUUCCAGCCAAACCCUUUUGAUUCUGUGUGAUACUCCCAGCAAUCAUUAAGAACUGAAAUUGCUGGAUUAUUGAUACUUCCCAUCAGCCUAACCCAAUAUUUUAGAGACAACUUUUAGACUAAGUGGAUAUUCCUCAGAUUCUACUAAUAACGCACUUGUGGGGGUGGUUUUAAUAGCUCCUAAAGCAAUUCUUAUAGCUUUGAAUUGAACCCUCUCAAGUUUCCUUAAAGAAGUUUUACAUGCUGAGCUAUAAAUUACACAUCCAUAGUCUAUGAAAGAUCUUAUUAAGGCUGUAUAAAUGUACAUCAAAGACUUUCCAUCUGCUCCCCAACACUGUCCAGUGAUCAUCCUCAUUAGAUUUAGAACUUUUUUACAUUUUGUUUCAGCAUGCUCUAUAUGAUGUAUCCAUGUAAGCCUUUCAUCCAACCACAUCCCCAAAUAUUUAAAUUUCUUCUCUCUUUCAACUGAUUGAUUAUAUAACAGAACUUUAUAAUUUUCUGGGAUCUUCUUUCUGGUAAAAAACAUAACCUUUGUUUUAGGAAUGGAGAAUUUAAAUCCCCAAUCAAUACCCCAUUGUUCUAACACUAUGUCGGGCGCGCUUUUCCGAGAGAAAUGCUCAUAUAAGGAGUUCCACCAUCGUCUACGUCAUUAGAUCCACGAUCGAAAAAAAAACAGCCGAAACUUGUACCAAGUAAGAUUUUCGGCACAGAAAUUCUCUAUCAUUCGUCCAAAUUAUUUUUUUAAACUUUGGCCAUGUUUAGCAUGAGAAUCCAUCUCUACUCUAAAU